ensembl:lncRNA
CAGGGUUACAGGGUUACAGGGCUACAUGGCUACAGGGCUACAGGGUUACAGGGCUACAGGGUUACAGGGCUACAGGGUUACAGGGCUACAGGGUUACAGGGCUACAGGGGUACAGGGCUACAGGGGUACAGGGCUACAGGGCUACAGGGCUACAGGGUUACAGGGCUACAGGGCUACAGGGCUGCAGGGCUACAGGGUUACAUGGCAACAGGGCUACAGGGUUACAUGGCUACAGGGCUACAGGGUUACAUGGCAACAGGGCUACAGGGUUACAUGGCAACAGGGCUACAGGGUUACAUGGCAACAGGGCUACAGGGUUACAUGGCUACAGGGCUACAGGGCUACAGGGUUACAUGGCAACAGGGCUACAGGGCUACAGGGUUACAUGGCAACAGGGCUACAGGGCUACAGGGUUACAUGGCAACAGG